ACCACAACGGGUGGAGCCUGCGGUUUAAUUGGACUCAACGCCGGGCAGCUCACCGGAUAAGACAGCUGGAUGAUAGCCGGGCUGAAGACUCUGCUUGACUAGCUGAGAGGAGGUGCAUGGCCGUCGUCAGUUCGUACUGCGAAGCAUCCUGUUAAGUCAGGCAACGAGCGAGACCCACGCCAACAGUUGCCAGCAUGUCCUCCGGGAUGAUGGGGACACUGUUGGGACCGCCUCUGCUAAAGAGGAGGAAGGAAUGGGCAACGGUAGGUCAGCAUGCCCCGAAUUAUCUGGGCUACACGCGGGCUACAAUGGGUGGGACAAUGGGUAUCGACACCGAAAGGUGAAGGCAAUCUCCUAAACCCAUCCGUAGUUCGGAUUGUGGGCUGCAACUCGCCCACAUGAAGCUGGAAUCUGUAGUAAUCGUGUCUCAAAAUGGCACGGUGAAUAUGUCCCUGCUCCUU
rnacentral:rRNA from 1 species